CCUACGGGGGGCUGCAGUGGGGAAUAUUGGACAAUGGGGGCAACCCUGAUCCAGCCAUGCCGCGCGUGUGAAGAAGGCCCUCGGGUUGUAAAGCACUUUCAGUGAGGAAGAACGCCUGGUGGUUAAUACCCAUCAGGAAAGACAUCACUCACAGAAGAAGCACCGGCUAACUCCGUGCCAGCAGCCGCGGUAAUACGGAGGGUGCGAGCGUUAAUCGGAAUUACUGGGCGUAAAGCGCGCGUAGGUGGCUUGAUAAGCCGGUUGUGAAAGCCCCGGGCUCAACCUGGGAACGGCAUCCGGAACUGUCAAGCUAGAGUGCAGGAGAGGAAGGUAGAAUUCCCGGUGUAGCGGUGAAAUGCGUAGAGAUCGGGAGGAAUACCAGUGGCGAAGGCGGCCUUCUGGACUGACACUGACACUGAGGUGCGAAAGCGUGGGUAGCAAACAGGAUUAGAUACCCGGGUAGUC
rnacentral:rRNA from 1 species